AGUACGUGAAACUGCUUAGAGGUUAAGCCCGAUGAACCUGAAUAUCCAUUAUGGAAAAUUCAUCACUAAUAAUAUAAUAUAUUAAUAAUAUUAUAAAAAUGGUGUGCACUUUUUCCAUAUAAGGACAUUGUAAUUUGUUAAUGUAAUAAAUAUUUAUCAUAAGAUCCAUUACUUAAGUUUAUUCAAAUUAGUUAUUUUCGGAUUUCUAACAUAAAAUAAAUGUUUUGGAUUUGAUAAAUCAUUGACAGAUAUAAUUAUAUAAUGCGCUUAAAUUUCUUUUAUAAGGAAUUUUACAAUUAAAUAAAAUAAAAUAAAUUGUAUGCGCUAUUAUGAUUAACAAUGCAAUAGAUUCAGGAUACCUUCGGGACCCGUCUUGAAACACGGACCAAGGAGUCUAACAUAUGUGCAAGUCAUUGGGUAUUUUUAAUAAAACCCAAUGGCAUAAUUAACUUAACUGAUAUAUUAAAUGGGAUGAGUUUAUGUUUUGUUAUGAAAUAUGAAUGCAAUCCCGGGGCGUUCUAUAUAGUUAUGCAUAGUGAUAUUUAUAUUAUUUAUGCCUCUAACUAGAGC
rnacentral:rRNA from 1 species